rnacentral:misc_RNA from 1 species
AAAAUUUCACAGGCAGAAUACAGAAGGAGAAGGAUUAGAAUUGAUAGAUAUUCAAGAUGAUGAUAUUGAGGUUCCAUUUUUCAGUUUUGAAAGUAUAUUAGUAGCAACAGAUGACUUCUCUGAACAAAAUAAGCUUGGUCAAGGAGGAUUUGGUCCUGUUUACAAGGGAAUAUUUUCAGGGGGAAGAGAAAUUGCAUUAAAAAGGUUAUCUAGCCAUUCUGGACAAGGUAUAAA